rnacentral:rRNA from 1 species
AUUGAACGCUGGCGGCAGGCCUAACACAUGCAAGUCGAGCGGAUGAAGGGAGCUUGCUCCUGGAUUCAGCGGCGGACGGGUGAGUAAUGCCUAGGAAUCUGCCUGGUAGUGGGGGAUAACGUCCGGAAACGGGCGCUAAUACCGCAUACGUCCUGAGGGAGAAAGUGGGGGAUCUUCGGACCUCACGCUAUCAGAUGAGCCUAGGUCGGAUUAGCUAGUUGGUGGGGUAAAGGCCUUCCAAGGCGACGAUCCGUAACUGGUCUGAGAGGAUGAUCAGUCACACUGGAACUGAGACACGGUCCAGACUCCUACGGGAGGCAGCAGUGGGGAAUAUUGGACAAUGGGCGAAAGCCUGAUCCAGCCAUGCCGCGUGUGUGAAGAAGGUCUUCGGAUUGUAAAGCACUUUAAGUUGGGAGGAAGGGCAGUAAGUUAAUACCUUGCUGUUUUGACGUUACCAACAGAAUAAGCACCGGCUAACUUCGU